AUGAACGCUGGCGGCGUGCCUAAUACAUGCAAGUCGAGCGAACAGAUAAGGAGCUUGCUCCUUUGACGUUAGCGGCGGACGGGUGAGUAACACGUGGAUAACCUACCUAUAAGACUGGGAUAACUUCGGGAAACCGGAGCUAAUACCGGAUAACAUAUUGAACCGCAUGGUUCAAUAGUGAAAGGCGGCUUUGCUGUCACUUAUAGAUGGAUCCGCGCCGUAUUAGCUAGUUGGUAAGGUAACGGCUUACCAAGGCAACGAUACGUAGCCGACCUGAGAGGGUGAUCGGCCACACUGGAACUGAGACACGGUCCAGACUCCUACGGGAGGCAGCAGUAGGGAAUCUUCCGCAAUGGGCGAAAGCCUGACGGAGCAACGCCGCGUGAGUGAUGAAGGUCUUCGGAUCGUAAAACUCUGUUAUCAGGGAAGAACAAAUGUGUAAGUAACUGUGCACAUCUUGACGGUACCUGAUCAGAAAGCCACGGCUAACUACGU
rnacentral:rRNA from 1 species